GAGGAGCCAGGUGAGCUUAGACGGAGGGGCCCUGGGGCCUGACUUAGUCUUUGUAAGUCUCUUGGGCUGUUCCUGGAAAAUGGUCCACAGCAGAGCUGGGGGGAAGCUGGCUCAGAUGAGAACGAGAAGGCUGAGAGCAUCUCAGUCACGUGCCCCGUCCCAGCAAAUGCGUUCGGGCGGCGGGGACGAGGAGCUGGGCCGCACCGUCUGUAACCUUGAGUGCAUUUCAUGAAUCUCCGGAAAUCUUCAGGCGUCUUUCUUUCAACCGAGGGCUUUCUCCGGGCCCUGUGGCUUACUUCAGAAAAGCGGUGUUCAGCUUCUUGUCCUGAGUCUGGGUUAGAAUGUUGCAGCCGUCUGUGGAUCUCCUCUUUGAGUAAAUAUUUAAAUCGGAUUUGAAUUUUUCCUCUUCAACCUUUCUAAAUAAAAAUAAAUCUCGCCCUCUGGACUGUG